CCCGGGCGCACUCUUCAGUGUGCCCCAGGCUUCGGAAUGCAGGCAGCUCCCGAGGGUCGCGCGGAGCUGCCUGCAUUCCGAAGCCUGGGGCGCGCUGAAGAGGGUUGUGUGGA